UUUGGUUAAGUUAGAAAGGGCGCACGGUGGAUGCCUUGACACUAGGAGUCGAUGAAGGACGGGACUAACGCCGAUAUGCUUCGGGGAGCUGUAAGUAAGCUUUGAUCCGAAGAUUUCCGAAUGGGGAAACCCACCAUACGUAAUGGUAUGGUAUCCUUAUCUGAAUACAUAGGGUAAGGAAGACAGACCCAGGGAACUGAAACAUCUAAGUACCUGGAGGAAGAGAAAGCAAAUGCGAUUUCCUGAGUAGCGGCGAGCGAAACGGAACAUAGCCCAAACCAAGAGGCUUGCCUCUUGGGGUUGUAGGACAUUCUAUACGGAGUUACAAAGGAACGAGGUAGACGAAGCGACCUGGAAAGGUCCGUCGUAGAGGGUAACAACCCCGUAGUCGAAACUUCGUUCUCUCUUGAAUGUAUCCUGAGUACGGCGGAACACGUGAAAUUCCGUCGGAAUCUGGGAGGACCAUCUCCCAAGGCUAAAUACUACCUAGUGAUCGAUAGUGAACCAGUACCGUGAGGGAAAGGUGAAAAGCACCCCGGAAGGGGAGUGAAAGAGAUCCUGAAACCGUGUGCCUACAAAUAGUCAGAGCCCGUUAACGGGUGAUGGCGUGCCUUUUGUAGAAUGAACCGGCGAGUUACGAUCCCGUGCGAGGUUAAGCUGAAGAGGCGGAGCCGCAGCGAAAGCGAGUCUGAAUAGGGCGUUUAGUACGUGGUCGUAGACCCGAAACCAGGUGAUCUACCCAUGUCCAGGGUGAAGUUCAGGUAACACUGAAUGGAGGCCCGAACCCACGCACGUUGAAAAGUGCGGGGAUGAGGUGUGGGUAGCGGAGAAAUUCCAAUCGAACCUGGAGAUAGCUGGUUCUCCCCGAAAUAGCUUUAGGGCUAGCCUUAAGUGUAAGAGUCUUGGAGGUAGAGCACUGAUUGGACUAGGGGUCCUCAUCGGAUUACCGAAUUCAGUCAAACUCCGAAUGCCAAUGACUUAUCCUUAGGAGUCAGACUGCGAGUGAUAAGAUCCGUAGUCAAAAGGGAAACAGCCCAGACCGCCAGCUAAGGUCCCAAAGUGUGUAUUAAGUGGAAAAGGAUGUGGAGUUGCUUAGACAACUAGGAUGUUGGCUUAGAAGCAGCCACCAUUUAAAGAGUGCGUAAUAGCUCACUAGUCGAGUGACUCUGCGCCGAAAAUGUACCGGGGCUAAAUACACCACCGAAGCUGCGGAUUGAUACCAAUGGUAUCAGUGGUAGGGGAGCGUUCUAAGGACAGUGAAGUCAGACCGUAAGGACUGGUGGAGUGCUUAGAAGUGAGAAUGCCGGUAUGAGUAGCGAAAGACGGGUGAGAAUCCCGUCCACCGAAUGCCUAAGGUUUCCUGAGGAAGGCUCGUCCGCUCAGGGUUAGUCAGGACCUAAGCCGAGGCCGACAGGCGUAGGCGAUGGACAACAGGUUGAUAUUCCUGUACCACCUCUUUAUCGUUUGAGCAAUGGAGGGACGCAGAAGGAUAGAAGAAGCGUGCGAUUGGUUGUGCACGUCCAAGCAGUUAGGCUGAUAAGUAGGCAAAUCCGCUUAUCAUAAAGGCUGAGCUGUGAUGGGGAAGCUCCUUAUGGAGCGAAGUCUUUGAUUCCCCGCUGCCAAGAAAAGCUUCUAGCGAGAUAAAAGGUGCCUGUACCGCAAACCGACACAGGUAGGCGAGGAGAGAAUCCUAAGGUGUGCGAGAGAACUCUGGUUAAGGAACUCGGCAAAAUGACCCCGUAACUUCGGGAGAAGGGGUGCUUUCUUAACGGAAAGCCGCAGUGAAUAGGCCCAAGCGACUGUUUAGCAAAAACACAGCUCUCUGCGAAGCCGUAAGGCGAAGUAUAGGGGGUGACACCUGCCCGGUGCUGGAAGGUUAAGGAGAGGGGUUAGCGUAAGCGAAGCUCUGAACUGAAGCCCCAGUAAACGGCGGCCGUAACUAUAACGGUCCUAAGGUAGCGAAAUUCCUUGUCGGGUAAGUUCCGACCCGCACGAAAGGUGUAACGAUUUGGGCACUGUCUCAACCAGAGACUCGGUGAAAUUAUAGUACCUGUGAAGAUGCAGGUUACCCGCGACAGGACGGAAAGACCCCGUGGAGCUUUACUGUAGCCUGAUAUUGAAUUUUGGUACAGUUUGUACAGGAUAGGCGGGAGCCAUUGAAACCGGAGCGCUAGCUUCGGUGGAGGCGCUGGUGGGAUACCGCCCUGACUGUAUUGAAAUUCUAACCUACGGGUCUUAUCGACCCGGGAGACAGUGUCAGGUGGGCAGUUUGACUGGGGCGGUCGCCUCCUAAAGUGUAACGGAGGCGCCCAAAGGUUCCCUCAGAAUGGUUGGAAAUCAUUCGUAGAGUGCAAAGGCAUAAGGGAGCUUGACUGCGAGACCUACAAGUCGAGCAGGGACGAAAGUCGGGCUUAGUGAUCCGGUGGUUCCGCAUGGAAGGGCCAUCGCUCAACGGAUAAAAGCUACCCCGGGGAUAACAGGCUUAUCUCCCCCAAGAGUCCACAUCGACGGGGAGGUUUGGCACCUCGAUGUCGGCUCAUCGCAUCCUGGGGCUGUAGUCGGUCCCAAGGGUUGGGCUGUUCGCCCAUUAAAGCGGUACGCGAGCUGGGUUCAGAACGUCGUGAGACAGUUCGGUCCCUAUCCGUCGUGGGCGUAGGAAAUUUGAGAGGAGCUGUCCUUAGUACGAGAGGACCGGGAUGGACGCACCGCUGGUGUACCAGUUGUUCUGCCAAGGGCAUAGCUGGGUAGCUAUGUGCGGAAGGGAUAAGUGCUGAAAGCAUCUAAGCAUGAAGCCCCCCUCAAGAUGAGAUUUCCCAUAGCGUAAGCUAGUAAGAUCCCUGAAAGAUGAUCAGGUUGAUAGGUUCGAGGUGGAAGCAUGGUGACAUGUGGAGCUGACGAAUACUAAUAGAUCGAGGACUUAACCAUAUAA
rnacentral:rRNA from 1 species